AACUAAGAGCACAUUGUGUAUGGUAAUGGAUGAACCAUUUACUACAUCACCACAUCCAAGGAUUCUCCCUUUAUUAUUGUCACCAUAAGUAACAUAACCUUUUGUCUUCAGCCUCACAUUUACAAACUUGUGAGCAUUUCUAGUCAUGUACCUUGAACAACCACCAUCUAAGUACCACAACUAUUUUUCGGCUUUCAAGUGCACCUGUAAAACAGAUUAUAAAACAGAGUAUGGUACCCUUAU
rnacentral:lncRNA from 1 species